GGCGAGGUAGCUCAAUGGCGGAGCAGCGGACUCAUAAGCCGUCGGUUGUGGGUUCAAGUCCCACCCUCGCCACAA
rnacentral:tRNA from 1 species